rnacentral:misc_RNA from 1 species
GCUAAGUAUUUAAUAACUAUCGUGUGCAUUAAAAAAUUGGCUCUUCAUUAUUCAUGGAAUUGUGUGAACAAAGGCCUUUCUGAGUAACUGUGUGCAAAUUUGCAAACUGCUGUACUUGACUGGGUGGUGGGCCAGCCUCAUGCUUUCUCAUUCUUUCACUUUUGCGUAACAAUGUGUUAAAAAAGAAGUUUCAAUGAAUUUUAUCAAUUGUGAUGCAUGGCGACACCUUUCGACUUAGCUGUGAGCUUAUUUGGUACAAUCGUAUUGCAAAGAUUGCGUACACCGGCUUUAUCUAUUUGCAAUGGCAGCUCUCGUACGACAUUUGUGUAUUGUCUUUUCUCUGUUGGUCACUACUCGUUUGUAUGUAUUUUUAGAGCCCUGACAGGCUGAUGAAGGAACACUGAAUUCUUCUGAAAGCUGUCAUUACUAAGAAAUGAAGCUGGUGUUAUGACUUAUGAACAGUGAACAGUGUCCCAAAAUUUUAUUUCAGAGUGAAAAAUUGUUCUGGAAAAUUGGAGAUGAAAGUGGAAAAUUGAUUUCAGUUGGAUGUCAUUUCCCACCCAAAACUGGCAAAUUUUGGGACAUUGGUUUUGAACAAACUUAACAAUACAAUAUCGAUGUCCCAGGCUCUAGCUGAAUAACAUCAACAUAAAUAUAACAUAAUACUUUGUGUAAGCAUCUCGUACAACUGUGUUUCUGUGAUAAUGAAAUCAAAACACAUGCAUCCUGCAUCCACGAAAGUGGAUAGUAAGUAGAAAGAAGCAUUUGUUGCCAUAUGUUAGUGAUAAUUGUGCAAUAUCUUGGUAAUUUUAGUUUGUAUGAAACGCGUAAGAUUUAGGUGAUUGAAACUAAACAUGGAAGAUAAUUUUUAGGUCAAUUUUUACUUUUUUUUAAUGCUGUUCUUGAUAUUCCACUUCACUCAAAACACACCAGUUCAUAAGUUAUUUCAGGGCUUUCACAAUAGCCAUGUCUUUGUGGUCAAUCAUCCUCAGAGCAGCCUGAGUCAAUUCCAUUCAUAACUUCCUUAGCCAUAUAUCUCUGAUCCUUUUUCAGGACAAGACAUGCACUACUACAUGUAUGCUGUGCCUGGCUCAAGAUUCCUAUAUGUAGCCAGGCUGCCCUACCGACACUGGCAAAAUGAAUGCUUCCUUGAACAAAGCUAACCAAAGGUGCCAUCAACUGUCUUAAUCUGAACAGGAAGGAAGCCUAGUUUUCAACAUAGACAACAGCUUGUGUGAAGCUGUCACUUUCAGGGUGUGCACCACCCAGUGUUCAUUUGUUAACAUCAAUAAUGUGUGACCACGAAAGGAAACCCUUCUGAAGAUCGAAGAUCCUGCUCGCAGCUAUGCCUCAUUGCCUACCAUGGCCAAAACCUCUUUGAGGUUUACCGUAGUGUUCUCCAUCUGAUUGUUAUGUGUUGAGGAUGAGCUGAAUGUUACUGAUAUUGAUACCUGAUAUCUAAUUGUGGUCAAUGUUUAGUGUAAUACCGUGACAUCUUCCAAUGCCAAAGUUUAUUUCCAACGAGCCAAAGCUUAUUUGCAUUGCAAUUACGAGCGGUAGUGUGAUGUGUGGAACGUGUAGUAAGUACGAUUGGGAACCACUUACUCUGUAACCCAAAGUGGCAUGUUUGCAUGGUAUAUGAGAAUGUUCAGUGUUCAUCGUCUUUAGAUAAUAAAAGCAUUGGCAUACCAGGAAGUGGAUUGUUCGGUAGUCGCCUAAAAUGGUAUCAGAGCUGCAAUUUUGACACCAUCGUGUUCGUCAUGCUCAGCCACGUCGAGUGAUAUGCUUUUUGUAUGGAUGAGGUCAAUUUAGGAUGUUGACCUCCGUCCAAGGUCAGGUCAGGUCAUUACCUCAUGAUGAGGUCAAGUUGCACGUUAUUCAAUUCGGCAGGUCUUUCUGAGUCUAUUUGUGUCUUUUCCGUCUAAGAUCACUGUCAGCGCCAAAAUAGCUGUCUCUAUAUCCCCCUCCCCCCCCCCAUCGGCUUAUAAUGGGGCCAGACCACCUGACCGACCUGACGUUAGGUGACCCUUAGGAGAAAUCCGAAGUUAACGACUUUUGAGAAUAAGGGAGAUUGAUAAGUUCUGUAAGUUUCAUCUACCUGUGAUAGAUCUCCUUGAAUUGAUGAAGUUGCUAUGUUACGACGUUUUUUAGACCGUGCAGAGGUGCACUUAUGACGUCAUAGGUCAGUGACCUGACCUUACCUGAAAAUGAGGUUGGUGCCACAAAAUCCGGCUUGAAUCAAAGGUCAGGUAUGCCAACUUACAACC